UAUAUGACAAUCCCUAGUGACCUUAAACUUGGGCUCUAGUACUGUUCUGUCAUAUCCUAAUCACUUGUAUCAUUGUCUCCAAAUAAACGUAACCUAACCUCUAAGCUCAGAUGCCACUCUGUCACAUCCUACUGAUCUUACAUAAAGUUUUAAUAUCUCUUUAUAAUCUCUAGUGAUCUUAAACCUAAGCUCUGAUAUUAUUCUAUCUCAUCCUAAUCAUUUAUAUCGUAAUCUCCAAUGAUCAUAACCUAAGCUCUAAUAUCACUCUGUAAUA
rnacentral:lncRNA from 1 species